AAUUAACUAUACAAAAGAACUAGCUGGCAGACCUGCAUUCCUGGCUAAUAGCUCAUCUAAAAAACUGCAGGGAGGGGAGAGGAGAUAGGAAGAGCAC